AAGAACUUGCCUCUUAGACCGGGACAACAUCUGGAAACGGAUGCUAAUACCGGAUAUUAUGGUUUUUUCGCAUGGAGGAAUCAUGAAAGCUAGAUGCGCUAAGAGAGAGCUUUGCGUCCCAUUAGCUGGUUGGUGAGGUAACGGCCCACCAAGGCAAUGAUGGGUAGCCGGCCUGAGAGGGUGAACGGCCACAAGGGGACUGAGACACGGCCCUUACUCCUACGGGAGGCAGCAGUGGGGAAUAUUGGACAAUGG
rnacentral:rRNA from 1 species